CUUCAGUGAUGAUCCGAUGACGAGUCAGAAAGGGGCACCCUCCUGCCCAGGGCAAGCGGCUCAGAGCCACGUUCUGUGGUGCUGUGCUUGCUGCCCUGGCAAAGGUGCCCUGUUCAUUGGAUGAUCUAGAGGCAUUUGUCUGAGAAGG